rnacentral:rRNA from 1 species
UACGUAGGGUGCGAGCGUUAAUCGGAAUUACUGGGCGUAAAGUGUGCGCAGGCGGCCGCGCAAGUCGAGUGUGAAAGCCCCGGGCUUAACUUGGGAAUUGCGCUCGAAACUACGUGGCUGGAGUGUGGCAGAGGAAGGUGGAAUUCCACGUGUAGCGGUGAAAUGCGUAGAGAUGCGGAGGAACACCGAUGGCGAAGGCAGCCCCCUGGGCUAACACUGACGCUCAGGCACGAAAGCGUGGGGAGCAAACAGG